ACAAUAAUUUGGAGUAGUCGGAAGCGUUGGGGCUGGAGGGCUGUGGGCAGUGUUGCGUCGGGGACGUGGCGGAGUUGAAGGCAGCGUGGGGCGGGGGGCUACGGAGGUGCAAGUUCGGGCCAGGCAGUCGCUCCCAGUGCAGAGCUUAUCCUUGGAAGGGGCUUCUGCUAGCAGUCAUGCUCAGAUAUCGUACGCUCCAUGGCCUCUGGCAGGUGG